UCAAAGUUGCAAUGUUAUUCAUUAAAAUGUAGGUUGGGUUAUUGUUUUCAUCACAGGCUGUUAUAAUGAACAAAUAUAUUCGUAAAUCGUAAUGUACAUUUAAACUCACAGACUUUUGACGUUGUUAUACCAAGAGCCAUGUUUCGCUGCGGCAGUAUAAAAUCCGAAAAGGACAGUAUAAGCCCCAUGUUCACAAAUCGUAACCCAAGACAUUUCAAAUACCUACGAAUCGCUAAUAAACCGGACGGCUACUACGGUGAUAAAACUGGAACGCUCCUACUGGCAUAAAUAUACAAAUUUGCUUUCCUACCGCCUCCAAUAAGACAGCCAGAUUGUAGAUGACAACUGACACAAACAGGCCGUCACGUAACUUUAUUGUUUGUGCAUUACAUCAAUGGACCCGACACUCACCGCUAGCACGAAGGAAUGGCCCCUCAAAACCCGGCUGUAUAAGACCAUGCACCAAGUCGUUGGCGUUUCAGUUCUUAGUACAAAGAUGCCUUGCAAGCGGUCCGACAGAGUUUAUGUGCGAUUGCAAACCCGAACACAACGUCAGUAAGGUCGCAAAGUUUCUAAUGUGCUCCAAGAUUUCAAUUUGAAAUUGCCAAUUCACUAUAACUAAGGUGCCCUUUUUAUUAUUGUGUAAUUUAUUAUUAUUUAAUGUUUAAAAUAUUGGUAAGCAAUAAAAAGUUUACAUAUUUA